AACGGCUAAAACUAAAAAGGCUCGCCCAUAACACCCUGGCUCUCGGGUCGUGACGGGUUAACUCAAUAGAGAAGCCUAAACAUGUAGAUCUUGAGGCGGAGGAUUGACGGACGCGGGUUCGACCCCCGCCAUCUCCACCA
rnacentral:tmRNA from 1 species